GGCGGAAUUGGUAGACGCGCAUGGUUCAGGUCCAUGUGUCGCAAGAUGUGGGGGUUCGAGUCCCUCC
rnacentral:tRNA from 1 species